rnacentral:rRNA from 1 species
AUUGAACGCUGGCGGCAGGCUUAACACAUGCAAGUCGAGCGGAGAUGAGGUGCUUGCACCUUAUCUUAGCGGCGGACGGGUGAGUAAUGCUUAGGAAUCUGCCUAUUAGUGGGGGACAACAUUCCGAAAGGAAUGCUAAUACCGCAUACGUCCUACGGGAGAAAGCAGGGGAUCUUCGGACCUUGCGCUAAUAGAUGAGGCUAAGUCGGAUUAGCUAGUUGGUGGGGUAAAGGCCUACCAAGGCGACGAUCUGUAGCGGGUCUGAGAGGAUGAUCCGCCACACUGGGACUGAGAAACGGCCCAGACUCCUACGGGAGGCAGCAGUGGGGAAUAUUGGACAAUGGGGGGAACCCUGAUCCAGCCAUGCCGCGUGUGUGAAGAAGGCCUUAUGGUUGUAAAACACUUUAAGCUAGGAGGAGGCUACUGAGACUAAUACUCUUGGAUAGUGGACGUUACUCGCAGAAUAAGCACCGGCUAACUCUGUGCCAGCCGCCGCCGUAACAC